AUUGAACGCUGGCGGCAUGCCUUACACAUGCAAGUCGAACGGUAACGGGCCUUCGGGUGCCGACGAGUGGCGCACGGGUGAGUAAUGUAUCGGAACGUACCUUUCAGUGGGGGAUAACGUAGCGAACGUUACGCUAAUACCGCAUCUUCUGCGUGCAGGAAAGCAGGGGAUCGCAAGACCUUGCGCUGACUGAGCGGCCUCUAUCAGAUUAGCUAUUUGGUGAGGUAAAGGCUUACAAAGGCGACGAUCUGUGGCGGGUCUGAGAGGAUGAUCCGCCACACUGGAACUGAGACACGGUCCAGACUCCUACGGGAGGCAGCAGUGGGGAGUUUUGGACAAUGGGGGCAACCCUGAUCCAGCCAUGCCGCGUGAGUGAAGAAGGCCUUCGGGUUGUAAAGCUCUUUCGGCCGGGAAGAAAUCGUAUCAGCUAAUACCUGGUGCGGAUGACGGUACCGGCAUAAGAAGCACCGGCUAACUACGUGCCAGCCGCCGCAGUAAGAC
rnacentral:rRNA from 1 species